UGUGAUAAAAAGCUACUCUAGAUCUCUUAAGCUAAGCAGGGUUAGACCUGGUCAGUAGUUGGAUGGGAGACCACUGGGAAUACCAGGGGCCACAA
rnacentral:rRNA from 1 species